rnacentral:rRNA from 1 species
GACGAACCGUGCGACCGUUGUUCGGAAUCACUGGGUUUAAAGGGCGCGUAGGCGGGCUGUCAAGUCGGUGGUGAAAUCUUUCGGCUCAACCGGAAAAUCGCCUUCGAUACUGGCGGCCUUGAGGGAGGUAGGGGCAUGCGGAACUUCCGGUGGAGCGGUGAAAUGCGUAGAUAUCGUCUGGAACGCCGAAGGUGAAAACAGCUCGCUGGGGCUGCGCUGACGCUGAGACACGAAAGCCAGGGGAGCGAACGGG